AUGCUUGACAAGCCCGAGGAGAUAUAAUUUUAUAUUUCCACUCCCACUGGGUUCCGAUCCAUUGCAUGCCUUUCAUGGCUUGUGGAUGGCCACACUAUGUAUAAACACUGUACUACAACUGCGAGGAUAGGCGUAGAGCUCCCUUAAACAUCCCAUAAUCGGAUCGUUCACUUCAGCUUUUAGCUGUAAGGUGGUAACUAACCAUUUAGAGACUAGUGGUUGGAAAUUGGAAAAGCAGCAUUUCAUCGGUCAGGUGAGUAUAUACAUUUCUUUAAUUUGUUGAUCAAUUUCAAGAUUCAGGCACGUAACAUAGCUGAUCAGAAUGGGCGCAGUAGCUGCUAUGAUGAUUAUACUGGUUUUUCUAAACCUUGGAGCUGUUGCUACUGCUCAUCAAGAGGUUUCUAAUUUCGCUCGGCUGUUUUCUACUUCAAGCAAUUUAUCAAGCAGUACCACUCUGGAUGACAAGAGAGGUGUCCCAACAGGAGCAAAUCCUCUGCAUAAUAGGUAGCAAAGUGUGAAUUAUUCAAAAAAUUUCAGUUGUAGCAGGUUGCUUGAGCUAGAAGACGAAGGAGGAAGAGGAAGGUUAAUUGAGAUUCCUUCUGUUGUUUUCUAUUAUAUCAUGAUGUAUGUGUUUGGUAUAGAAAAGAAGUGUAGUGAUUGAUUUUGUCUUAGUGGGGAGGCUUUUGAGUUCUGACAUGAAUGUGCACGAGUUGUCUGUUGGUUCGCCAAAUUUCAAAGCCUGUGAUCAUAAGCAUGUCUUUUAUAAGUAGAGGGUUUAAUCAUGAAAUCAUCAUGUGCUUUAUCACUUCUUACAAUAUUAUGCUAUUUUCAAGUA
rnacentral:lncRNA from 1 species